rnacentral:rRNA from 1 species
GCUGUGGAACUCCUACGGGAGGCAGCAGUGGGGAAUUUUGGACAAUGGGGGCAACCCUGAUCCAGCCAUGCCGCGUGAGUGAAGAAGGCCUUCGGGUUGUAAAGCUCUUUCAGCCGGGAAGAAAACGCAUGGGUUAAUACCCUGUGUGGAUGACGGUACCGGAAUAAGAAGCACCGGCUAACUACGUGCCAGCAGCCGCGGUAAUACGUAGGGUGCGAGCGUUAAUCGGAAUUACUGGGCGUAAAGCGUGCGCAGGCGGUUUUGUAAGACAGGCGUGAAAUCCCCGGGCUUAACCUGGGAACUGCGUUUGUGACUGCAAGGCUAGAGUACGGCAGAGGGGGGUGGAAUUCCACGUGUAGCAGUGAAAUGCGUAGAGAUGUGGAGGAACCCCAAUGGCGAAGGCAGCCCCCUGGGUCGAUACUGACGCUCAUGCACGAAAGCGUGGGUAGCAAACAGGAUUAGAAACCCGAGUAGUCCUACCACGU